rnacentral:tRNA from 1 species
GCCUUCGUAGCUCAGUUGGUAGAGCACAGUCUUGGUAAGACUGGGGUCAUGAGUUCAAGUCUCAUCGAAGGCUCCA